UCCGCCUUAGCUCAGUUUGGUAGAGCAGCUGACUGUUAAUCAGCGGGUCGCUGGUUCGAGCCCAGCAGGCGGAGCCA
rnacentral:tRNA from 1 species